rnacentral:rRNA from 1 species
CAGAACGAACGCUGGCGGCGCGUCUUAAGCAUGCAAGUCGAACGGCAAGAGGUAGCAAUACCUCCUAGAGUGGCGGACUGGUGAGUAACACGUGGGUGACAUACCCUUCAGAUGGGGAUAGCUAUUAGAAAUAGUAGAUAAUACCGAAUACGAGCACAGGGGUUAGAGAUCUGUGAGGAAAGGAGCUAAGGCUCCGCUGAAGGAAUGGCCUGCGGCCCAUUAGCUAGUUGGUGAGGUAAGAGCCCACCAAGGCGAUGAUGGGUAUCCGGCCUUAGAGGGUGAACGGACACAUUGGGACUGAGAUACGGCCCAGACUCCUACGGGAGGCAGCAGCUAAGAAUAUUCCGCAAUGGACGAAAGUCUGACGGAGCGACGCCGCGUUGGAUGAAGAAGGCCGGAAGGUUGUAAAAUCCUUUUGAAACUGAAGAAUAAGCGUUGUAGGGAAUGACAGCGUGGUGACAGUAGGUUUUGAAUAAGCAACGGCUAAUUACGUGCCAGCCGCCGC